rnacentral:lncRNA from 1 species
UAAAAUGCAGCACAGCAAGGAUAAAAUGCUCAGUGUUUGAGUGGAGCACUUUCAAAAUUGAGUACCAAUGAAACUGAUUUUGGAUUGAAAUCCAUUAAUUUUUAUUUUAAAAGUUAGUAGUAAAAAUUUAGUGUGUGUGUGUGUAUAUACAUAUUAUUUAUUUAUCCAAUGGAAAGGUUAUUCAACGUUAUUUUUAACUCAAUGUGGUUUCAUCUAAUUUAGCGUGAAUUAAAGAAAAAAUACUCGAUGGCUUUUGGGACAAAAGAUCUUGCUCCGUUUCCGCUACGUUGGAGAUUCCAGUGUUAAGCAUAAGCACACCACUUUCAACUGUCAAAUUAACAAAUAGGUGUUAGUUUCAAUACACGACUUCUAAAUAGCCAACCUCAGUAGUUAAGUAGUAGUAGUAUUAGCAUUGCAUUGAGGACCGCAAACAAGGUUCCGUAAAAGUACUGAUGGAAAAGUAUAAUUUAUGAGGUGAGGAUAAUUCCACCUACCAUCGUGAACAAACGAGUGGUGAUGAUAGAGAUAAGAUAGAUUGAGGCACGAAGCAAAGCCACGUGGCCGACUGGUAGCAUAUCAACUAACGUUGGUGCUCGUUGCAACCACACUAUUUCCACAAGCUCUCUCCCUGUUUCUUAUCAUUAAGAAGAAGCAGAGCAUCAGGAGUUGGUAAAGUAGCCUUCUCAUAAACUCAAACAAGGAAAUGGCGACCGCACCCGCUUUAUGUGGCUCUGUGUUGAACACCUCUUUUCUCAGGAAGCAGCCUGUGAUCAGCACAAGCCUCAAGUCAUUCCCAAACGCUAACGCCAUGUUCGGUGUGGAAGGAGGACGUGGAGGUCGUGUGACUGCCAUGGCCGCUUACAAGGUGAAGCUGAUCACCCCAGAGGGAGAGCAGGAGUUCGAAUGCCCAGAUGAUGAAUACAUUCUUGAUGUUGCAGAGGGCCUAGGCCUUGACCUUCCCUACUCAUGCAGGGCUGGUUCUUGNUCUUCCUGUGCUGGCAAAGUUGUCGCCGGCAAAGUCGACCAGUCGGACGGUAACUACCUUGAUGACGACCAAAUUGGUGAAGGCUGGGUUCUCACCUGCGUUGCUUACCCAACCUCAGAUCUUGUUAUCGAAACCCACAAGGAGGAAGACCUCGUUGCUUAAAUCUUAUCAUCAUCAUCAUCGCUGCCUCUACUUUAUUAAGUUUCUUCCUUUCCCUGUGCUGCCUUUUCUUUAUCUGAGGAUAGACACACCCAUUAUGCUUUAUUACGUACCAUAAAUACCUUCUUAUGCAGUAAUGUAAUUCAUUACUUCCCCUGUAUUAGCAGCUCAACAUGUUUUUUUGUUAACUAUAAUAAUCUUUUCCUUACAGUUUUUGCGCGCAAUAUCCUUUCCACUUUCCGCCCUUCAAUCACUGAUUAUUACCUUUUACGAUCACAAAUUCGAUCUUGUCAUUCUAUCCGUGUUAACAUUUUAUGGUAUUGGAUUCAUAAAUUUAUGAAAGCAGUGCUAAAUACUAUCACAUAUUUAUUUACACAUCAAUCUGCGCAAAUACAAUAUAUAAAAAUGUUUUUCAUUGCUCAAUUAACAAUACAUAUAAUAUUUAUAAGCAAAACAGAUAGAAGUGCAACUCAAACAUACUUGCUUGUUUACGUUUUCACGCUCCCGACAUUUUUAUAUUUACGAUCUUAUCAUUCUCUUUUUGAGGUGAAAGAGGGAAUAUCUCUAUCAGAGAAGAUAAUGGAUAAAUCCCACAUAAACUAUAAUCUGAUAAGUCUUUCUAUAUAUAUCAAUCCAAGAUGUAUUUUCUUUCCCAGGGUUUGGAGAGGGUGCUCUUGGAGCAAAGAUUUGUAACUAUUAAAAAUGAAAUAAACUAAAAGUUAAAAUGAGGUUCUAUUAUUUAAGUAAAGGUUAAAUAAUUUCAAAUCUUUCGUAGUAGCAAAGAGUCCACUAAAAUAAUGCAGAGUCAGCAAAGUGACAGAUUCUCUGCCAUUGAAGUAUUUUAACUUAUUCUAAUUUGAGAUUUUAUUGCUUUCUAUAUUUAAAACAGAGGUAAAAAAAUUGUUAAAAAAACAUUUUUCUUUUAACUUAUAGUAUAUUAACAAUAUUUUAAUGUUUAAAAGCCGGAAAAGAAGAGUAUGAAUGGAUAAGAUAUGCAUCGAAGAACAAUGUGAUGAUAAUUUUCAAGUGGAAGCCUGGAUUUUGCACAAUCUGUGGAGAUAACAGAGGCACAGAGAUUGAGGUACGUGAGGUUGCAUUCGACCAAGAUAUGGUGAUAACAAUCGUGAGAACCAGUUGUGAUAAAGCCACGUGUAAGUGGGGUUGCAUGUGAUGUUGGAACUGGUUGUAAUCACAAGCUCCUUAUCGUUAUCAACAAAGAAGAAGAAAAAUCCAUCAACUUUGCAAGCAAGAGGAGAAUGGCGUUGAUUCAUGUGGCAGUGUUGAACACCUCCUUCCUCUGGAAACAGCCAGUCCUGAAGGCAUUCCCGAAUGCUAACGCCAUGUUUGGUGUGAAAGGAGGAAGUGGGGGUCGUGUGAGUGCCAUGGCCAGUUACAAGGUGAAGCUGAUCACACCAGAGGGAGACAAAGAAUUUGAAUGCCCAGAUGAUGCUUAUAUUCUUGACCAGGCUGAGGAAAUAGGCAUUGAUCUUCCCUACUCAUGCAGGGCUGGUGCUUGUUCUAGCUGUGCUGGCAAAGUUGUGGCUGGCCAAGUAGACCAAUCAGAUGGUAGUUUCCUUGAUGAAACUCAAGAGAGUGAAGGCUUUGUUCUCACCUGCAUCGCUUACCCCACUUCAGAUGUUGUUAUUCUCACUCACAAGGAGGAGGAACUCACUGCCACUGCUUGACUCACUCAGUUUCUUCCCUUCUCAACCUCAUCAUCUUUUUUCUUUUCUGUCUUGUGCAAUUUUCUCAGGAUUUUACUAUAUAUAUCAUGUUUCAUUCUUUGUUUUAUGAUCGGCAACUUAUCACGAAAUUUUUUGCCUUGAUGCUGACUUGCAUUGUAGCUUCUUAUCUCAGUUGUUAUAGAUGAUGAUUUCAUGCAUUGUGUGGCCAAAGUUUUUAACCUUCAUAUCACUUAAAAAUGAGAGAUGAUAUCUGAUUGUGUCUGCUGCAUUAGGUAGAUUCCACUUGUGAUAAAAGAAUUGAAGCAGGCUAAGGAUAUGGAAUGGGAGGCAUUAGAGAAAAGAACAUCAUUGUAGUUGAAUUCCUUGCCAAAAUUAAGGAAUGAAGUCAAUCAAAUGCAAAUGGUUAUAUUCACACUUUUGUGUUUUCUUUCUGUUCUACCUUUUACUUUUCCCUAGUAUUGCCAGAAUCAGUCAUGUGAACUGCAUAAGGGUAGACCAUUUGAAGACAGAUCCUUUCUCAUUGAUGCAUAAUUGUCAAACGCUAAAACAUAGAUAGAGGGUUCAUCAAGUUCCACAUUAAGAAGAACGUUUCACAAACAUACCCAAAAUAUUCACAUUCUUCCCUGCCAAGCCCAUGAAACAUAUAUCAUAGGAUCCAUGUCUUGUAAAUCAAAUCAGUUCAUCCAUUGUCUUUACUCCUCUAGUUGAAUCAAGUAAUUGACCAAUUUUGUACUUCAAUUCUUCAGGUUUGCUUUCUUAGCGUUAUCUUUAAGGUAGCUGUUCCUUGUUUGAUCCUAACACACUGUCAUCUUCAAAAGAACUUUUACUGAGGUCCAUACUUCUUCAAGGAAACUCAAAGGUCCUCAAUUAUAUGAUAUGCAUCCUGAACAGCAGUACUGCAACACAAGUAUGAGAUGGAAAUCCGCUUACAGAUAUUGAAUUUGCAAGGGAAUAAAUGGAAGAAAGAAAACUGAACAACUGGAAUAAAUAGUUGAAAUAAGAUUGUUCAAGUAAUAACAGUGUUUCCAAAUUAAUCUUUAUUACUGAUGAAGUAGUUGAAGUGAGCAAAGUAGUUGAAGUGAGCAGAAGGAAAACGUGGUAAAAAUACGUGUGGUGAUAAGAGAUGAGUUGAAGCCUAUAACAGUGACACGUGGCAGAUAAGGUUGUACGUGAUUUCACUUCAUUUCAUUGGUUUAUGUAUCAGAGAAGAAGAAGAAGAAGAAAAAGAAGGAGAAGAAGCAGCAACAGCAAGAGGAGAAUGGCAGCUCUGUGUGGCCCUGCAUUGAACAGCUCCUUCCUGAGGAAGCAAGCAGUGAACAUGUCAAGCAUGAAGGCAUUCGAAAACGCCAACGCCGUGUUUGGUGUGAAAGAAGGACGAGGUGGUCGUGUGACUGCCAUGGCCACUUACAAGGUGAAGCUGAUAACCCCAGAGGGAGAAAAGCAGAUCAAAUGCUCAGAUAGUGAAUACAUUCUUGAUGCUGCAGAAGAACAAGGCCUUGACCUUCCCUACUCAUGCAGGGCUGGUGCCUGUUCUUCUUGUGCUGGAAAAAUUGUGUCUGGCAAAGUGGACCAGACAGACAAUAGCUUCCUUGAUGACGACCAAGUUGAUGCAGGAUUUGUUCUCACCUGUAUUGCUUACCCGACCUCUGACGUUGUCAUCCGCACCAACGUGGAGGACGAACUCAAUGAUUUUUAAAUCUUGUUUUCUUUCAAAUCUCAUGUACUGUUGAAUAAGGUGAAUCUUGUUGCUUUCCUUUCUGCUUCAGUUAUGAACUCUCAUGUUAUUGCUUUCCUUGCCUUCUUAUAUGAACUAUUAAGCUUCGAACGAAAUCACCAGCAAUUAUCAUGUGGUAUAUGUUAUACUUGCAAUUACACGACAAGUCCAUAUGUGUGGUCGUUCUUGAUUGGUAACACCAUUCAUUGACAAGGAUAAUUUUGUAAGCAAUAAAUAAAUUAAAAAGAAAUUUCAAUUUACAAUGAAUCCAUGAAAAACAUUUAGCACAAUUAAAGCAGUGGACGACCAUAAACCAUACUCAGAUUCCAUAUAUAAAGUUUUAUAUACUUACCAAAAAAAGGAAAAUAAGAAGAUAUAACGAGGCAUAAGAUGAUGCCACGUGGCAGAUAGGAUUGUGUGUGGCCUCAGCACCUCAUAUAGGGUAUAAUAAGCACACUAUUUCUGCAAAGUGAAGGUCAGAAUUCUUAUCCUUCAGCAAGUAGAAGAAGAAGACGACGACAACGACGCUAGCAGCAUUGAAGAAUGGCGUCGAUGGCACCCGCUCUCUGUGGCCCUGUCUUGAACACUUCCUUCCUCAGGAAGCAACCACUGAACAUGGCAAGCAUGAAGCCUUUCCAAAACGCUAACGCCGUUUUCGGUGUGGAAGGAGGACGUGGAGGUCGUGUGACUGCCAUGGCCGCUUACAAGGUGAAGCUGAUCACCCCAGAGGGAGAACAGGAGUUCGAAUGCCCAGAUGAUGAAUACAUUCUUGAUGUUGCAGAGGGCCUAGGCCUUGACCUUCCCUACUCAUGCAGGGCUGGUUCUUGNUCUUCCUGUGCUGGCAAAGUUGUCGCCGGCAAAGUCGACCAGUCGGACGGUAACUACCUUGAUGACGACCAAAUUGGUGAAGGCUGGGUUCUCACCUGCGUUGCUUACCCAACCUCUGAUCUUGUUAUCGAGACCCACAAGGAGGAAGACCUCGUUGCUUAAAUCUUAUCAUCAUCGCUGCCUCUACUUUAUUAAGUUUCUUCCUUUCCCAGCCCCAUUGUCUUUUUCCCUUUAUUCUGUGCCAUUUUGUCAGGAUAUAUACGUAUGUUAUGUUUGUUUAUGAACAACUUGUUUUGCACUAAUUCGUUAAUUACUUCACCUGUACGUUGUAGCAGCUCAAGUUCAUUGCUGUCUUACUGUUGUUGCCCACUUGAUUGAAUGACAACUCAAUUUUUUUGGUAGAUGAUUAUGAUGUUAGUGCGGAGGAUUAGAGUUCCCAAAUGUUAGGAAAUAAAUUGUGUGGUUCUCUUCUUAUCGCUUAGAAGAGAG